CGAACGAUGAACCUCCUUCGGGAGGGGAUUAGUGGCGAACGGGUGAGUAACACGUGGGCAAUCUGCCCUGCACUCCGGGACAAGCCCUGGAAACGGGGUCUAAUACCGGAUACGACUCUCGCGGGCAUCCGCGAGGGUGGAAAGCUCCGGCGGUGCAGGAUGAGCCCGCGGCCUAUCAGCUGGUUGGUGGGGUAACGGCCCACCAAGGCGACGACGGGUAGCCGGCCUGAGAGGGCGACCGGCCACACUGGGACUGAGACACGGCCCAGACUCCUACGGGAGGCAGCAGUGGGGAAUAUUGCACAAUGGGCGCAAGCCUGAUGCAGCGACGCCGCGUGAGGGAUGACGGCCUUCGGGUUGUAAACCUCUUUCAGCAGGGAAGAAGCGCAAGUGACGGUACCUGCAGAAGAAGCGCCGGCUAACUACGUGCCAGCAGCCGCGGUAAUACGUAGGGCGCGAGCGUUGUCCGGAAUUAUUGGGCGUAAAGAGCUCGUAGGCGGCCUGUCACGUCGGGUGUGAAAGCCCGGGGCUUAACCCCGGGUCUGCAUUCGAUACGGGCAGGCUGGAGUUCGGCAGGGGAGAUCGGAAUUCCUGGUGUAGCGGUGAAAUGCGCAGAUAUCAGGAGGAACACCGGUGGCGAAGGCGGAUCUCUGGGCCGAUACUGACGCUGAGGAGCGAAAGCGUGGGGAGCGAACAGGAUUAGAUACCCUGGUAGUCCACGCCGUAAACGUUGGGCACUAGGUGUGGGAUCCAUUCCACGGGUUCCGUGCCGCAGCUAACGCAUUAAGUGCCCCGCCUGGGGAGUAC
rnacentral:rRNA from 1 species